UACGUAGGGAGUAAGCGUUGUCCGGAAUCAUUGGACGUAAAGCGCGCGUAGGUGGCCUCAUAAGUCCGCUGUGAAAGUCCAAGGCUCAACCUUGGAAAGCCGGUGGAUACUGUGAGGCUAGAGUACGGAAGAGGCGAGUGGAAUUCCUGGUGUAGCGGUGGAAUGCGCAGAUAUCAGGAGGAACACCGAUUGCGAAGGCAGCUCGCUGGGACGUCACUGACGCUGAGACGCGAAAGCGUGGGGAGCAAACAGG
rnacentral:rRNA from 1 species